AAUACCAAAAUACUUCUUUUCUCUGCCCUUAUUUUUGCAGAGGGCCUGUGGCCCCCAGGCACCCCAGUGUGGUGCUGAGGGUGGCAUGGGCAGGGGGAGCAGGAGCUGUGCUGGGCCCUGGCAGGGCCACUCCUGACUGCAGUUUGCCUCCAUUGGUGUACUGAUAAUAGAAAAGCUAAGCUAAGAGGGAACUUUAUGGAAAAGGACAUUUUUUUUCAGGGACAGGACAUUUGUGUAAUGGGUUCUUUGCUGGCAAGCAGAGUCUGCAGCUUGUUGUCCUUUGCUAACCCAUUGCAUGUGGCAUUGUUCUCCCUUCCUCCCUGUGCAGCCCCUUUCCCUGUGCUGUACAUGGGGAUGUGGAUGCACCUCUGCCGCUCAGAUAAGGGUUGAGUUUUAUCUUCACCAUUUUUCUCACUCCAGUGGGAAUUUUCAGUUACGGAAUCACAGUAUCGUUUGGGUCAAAAAGGUCCUUAACCCUCACCCAGUUCAACCCUCUGCCUGUGUGAGGAUGCCUUCCAGCAGCCAGGCUGAUCACAGCCCUGUCCAGCCUCACCUUGUUCUCAGAACCCUGUUCAAAACCAGCCUGCUUUUGUUCCCGGGAAUCUUUGAAUCCCAGCAGUUUCUGGGAGGUGGAUUUAUUACUCCAUGAGAAGGGAAUGUUGUGUGGCACCAUGCUGAUCCACAAGGGGCAGUGACACUACUGGAGAACCCACUGCUGACCAGCAAAGGUGGGGAGCACUAGAAAUGUGCUGGGUUAAUUUUUUUUGAUCUGAAUAAUUAUUUCACAGAUGGCUGAACUGGCAGAUCAAGAAGUUCAGUGCCGUGGUUUGUGUGCCAGUGGUUUGGCACCAGGUGCUUACACAAGUAAUGCAAACAUGAAUGACUUGGAGGUGUCAUUAUAUGUUUCAUCUAAUCCUGUCAAACAAGCAAAGUGACUGCAGGGGACACCCCAUGGUGCCUGUUAACCCAGAUCUGCCUGUGGUGCUGGCACUGAUUUUGGUUUUGGGUUGGUUCUGCCCUGUGAGCAGCCGUGUGCCAGGCAGGGGUUCCCGCUCUGUCACCGCUGGCUGCUGGCACUGCGUGUGGGGAGUGUCAAUAGCCAGCCAGGCUUUUCACUGGGCAAAUGAUGUGUGGCCAGCUUGAAUUCUUCAGAUCAAUAACCCAGUGACAGGCAGCUCGAGCGCUUGGAAAUAGCAUUAAGCCCGACGCUGCUGUUUUGUGUAUUGCAAGGGAUCGAAGAACACCAGGGCCUGAAUUGCAGAGCUCCAUCACUGUGUCACGGCUGUAAGCGUGAAUAUAAAGUGCUGUGGAAGAAUGUGUGGCCUCUUUGAAAGGUGAAAAGGAAAUGUUAACACUUGGACUUGGCAGCAGCUGGGGAAUGGGAGCUGGGACCAAUUCCCACCCAAGUGCCACAUCUGGUCACUUUGCCCAUCCACCAGCUAGAGGAAAGACAGGAAUAUAGAAUGUUUGGGUUGGAAGGGACCAUACAGAUCACCAAGUUCCAACAGCCUGCUGUAGGCAGAGAUGCUUCCAAUCCAGUAGGAAUUGAGGUUCCUAAACUCCCAGAGGAAGAAGCCCUGAACAGAGGAUGCAAUCCUUGUACAUUGCAGUGUCUGUUGUGAGCAGUGGGGAAUUUGCUUGCCUUAUGGUCAGGAUCCACAGGAAACUCCUUUUCCACUUAGGCUGAUAAUAUUUGCUAUGCAACAGAAUACUGUUUAAUCUGGGAUUUUUUUCAUCCCCCAGAAGAAACACUUUUUUGCUCAUGUUCCUGAAAUCUAUAUGUGUAGUGAGUCAAGCACAAAGAUCCUGUGGCACAAAGCUGAUGUAGAGCCUGCAGGGGUGUUCUUCAUGAUUUUAUUCCAGGUCUUGCGUUUAAUCCAAUGUAACUGGUUCUUAAACACUGUCUCUUCUGAAAAAUAUUUGAAGAAAUGUAAAUUUUGAACAUAUUCUCUUCAAAGAACAAAUAAAAUUGCUGUACCUGGAAUAGUUAAA